UCAAAUGUAAAUCUAUAAAGUAGAGAAGUUUUAGGACACUACUGCUCUCAUUGAAACAUUUAGAGGCAAGUAUUAAGAUAGUCUCAUGGAGAGAUGCUAGACAACAGGAAAGAUAGUACAUGUAUAGUGCCAGUAUAACUAACAGUUGAGUGUCCUAGUACCUACCCUUGUGUACCAUUCAUGCUUGAUGAAGUUAUACUGGGUCCUGAGGAAUGUGAACUGAAUUGUUAGGACUCCCCUGCUACACUGAAAACAUAAGGAGCAUCACCAGAUUUGCUAAAUGA
rnacentral:lncRNA from 1 species